rnacentral:rRNA from 1 species
UUAUGGCUCAGGAUGAACGCUAGCUACAGGCUUAACACAUGCAAGUCGAGGGGCAGCAGGAGCUUAGCUUGCUAAGUUUGCUGGCGACCGGCGCACGGGUGAGUAACGCGUAUCCAACCUUCCCCCUAGUAGAGGAUAGCCCGGUGAAAAUCGGAUUAAUACUCUAUGUUGUUCAAUGCAGGCAUCUAAGUUGAACCAAAGAUUUAUCGCUAAGGGAUGGGGGAUGCGUCUGAUUAGGUAGUCGGCGGGGUAACGGCCCACCGAGCCAUCGAUCAGUAGGGGUUCUGAGAGGAAGGUCCCCCCACAUUGGAACUGAGACACGGUCCAAACUCCUACGGGAGGCAGCAGUGAGGAAUAUUGGUCAAUGGGCGAGAGCCCGAACCAGCCAAGUAGCGUGCCAGGAAGACGGCCCUAUGGGUUGUAAACUGCUUUUAUAUAGGGAUAAAGUGCAUCACGUGUGGUGUUUUGUAGGUACUAUAUGAAUAAGGACCGGCUAAUUCCGUGCCAGCAGCUGC